rnacentral:misc_RNA from 1 species
GUGAGAAAGACCAUCAAUUUAGGGAUUUUCAUUUGUCCAUAUUAUAUAUUGUCUACAAAUCAUGGAAGAGGAAGCGAUUGCUAUGCCUAUGGGAUUGUAUCAACUGAUAACUUCCUAAGAAAGAAAGGACUAUGCAAAAAUACACGAAUGACGUUAUAUGUGAUAAAAACAACUCACCCCGGCGGCUCGUGGCCACUUUGCUUUGUUCUUAUCACUGACACGAAUGGCAUUAUCCGGUGAAUCUAUAACUGAACAGACAACGGUUCCUUUGAAGGAUCGCUGGCUUCGCUGCUACGACUACGAGAUUGGCUAUAACUGAAUAACCGACUAGCCUGCGUGCGGACUUUGUUAAGAAUGUUCUCAAUGGGAGGAAUCAACGUCACUGCAGAUUAUGCUCUUUCGAUUCACUGAGUAACCACUCAAUUCUUUUGUUGCUAGAUUUUAUUUAGCAGCGUCGUCAUAAUUAAAGGUAUAGAUAUGCGCUUUCAAGUCAAAUGAUGCAAAAUGCUGAUUAUAUUUUCUUUUGCGAGGAAUCACUUGUCGAAGGUUGCAAUUCAAUCGACGAUGUUGUGCUCGGCAGUUUCCUUGAGGGACGACGACACAUUCCCACCAGAGGGAACCACCACGAUUGCCAGAGGCGCCUCACCUUCUGUUUUCCGAUAAGAAGUAUUAAUGUGCCAGCUUGAAAGACGAUUCCAGAGAGCAAGAAUACAAUUACCAGCCCAUAGGAGGUUUCAUAUUCAAGAAAAUCUAG